UACGUAGGGGGCUAGCGUUGUCCGGAAUUAUUGGGCGUAAAGCGCGUGUAGGCGGUUCGAUUAGUCUGCUGUGAAAGUCGGGGGCUCAACCCUCGAAUGCCGGUGGAUACUGUCGGACUAGAGUACGGAAGAGGCGAGUGGAAUUCCUGGUGUAGCGGUGAAAUGCGCAGAUAUCAGGAGGAACACCAAUUGCGAAGGCAGCUCGCUGGGACGUUACUGACGCUGAGACGCGGAAGCGUGGGGAGCAAACAGG
rnacentral:rRNA from 1 species